rnacentral:rRNA from 1 species
UAAUACAUGCAAGUCGAACGAACUUCCGUUAAUUGAUCAGGACGUGCUUGCACUGAAUGAGAUUUUAACACGAAGUGAGUGGCGGACGGGUGAGUAACACGUGGGUAACCUGCCCAGAAGCAGGGGAUAACACCUGGAAACAGAUGCUAAUACCGUAUAACAGAGAAAACCGCCUGGUUUUCUUUUAAAAGAUGGCUCUGCUAUCACUUCUGGAUGGACCCGCGGCGCAUUAGCUAGUUGGUGAGGUAACGGCUCACCAAGGCGAUGAUGCGUAGCCGACCUGAGAGGGUAAUCGGCCACAUUGGGACUGAGACACGGCCCAGACUCCUACGGGAGGCAGCAGUAGGGAAUCUUCCACAAUGGACGCAAGUCUGAUGGAGCAACGCCGCGUGAGUGAAGAAGGGUUUCGGCUCGUAAAGCUCUGUUGUUAAAGAAGAACGUGGGUGAGAGUAACUGUUCACCCAGUGACGGUAUUUAACCAGAAAGCCACGGCUAACUACGUGCCAGCAGCCGCGGUAAUACGUAGGUGGCAAGCGUUAUCCGGAUUUAUUGGGCGUAAAGCGAGCGCAGGCGGUCUUUUAAGUCUAAUGUGAAAGCCUUCGGCUCAACCGAAGAAGUGCAUUGGAAACUGGGAGACUUGAGUGCAGAAGAGGACAGUGGAACUCUAUGUGUAGCGGUGAAAUGCGUAGAUAUAUGGAAGAACACCAGUGGCGAAGGCGGCUGUCUGGUCUGUAACUGACGCUGAGGCUCGAAAGCAUGGGUAGCGAACAGGAUUAGAUACUCCUGGUAGUCCAUGCCGUAAACGAUGAUUACUAAGUGUUGGGAGGGUUUCCGCUCUUCAGUUGCUGCAGCUAACGCAUUAAGUAAUCCGCCUGGGGAGUACGACCGCAAGGUUGAAACUCAAAAGAAUUUGACGGGGGCCCGCACAA